AGAGUUUGAUCAUGGCUCAGGAUGAACGCUAGCGGCAGGCUUAACACAUGCAGGUCGAGGGGUAUAUAAGAGCUUGCUUUUAUAGAGACCGGCAAACGGGUGCGGAACACGUACACAAUCUACCCUUAUCUUGGGGAUAGCCCGGAGAAAUUCGGAUUAAUACCCAAUAGUAUAACUGAGAGGCAUCUUUUGGUUAUUAAAGAUUUAUUGGAUAGGGAUGAGUGUGCGUCUGAUUAGGUAGUUGGCGGGGUAACGGCCCACCAAGCCGACGAUCAGUAGCUGAUGUGAGAGCAUGAUCAGCCACACGGGCACUGAGACACGGGCCCGACUCCUACGGGAGGCAGCAGUGAGGAAUAUUGGUCAAUGGACGGAAGUCUGAACCAGCCAUGCCGCGUGAAGGAUUAAGGCGUUCUGCGUUGUAAACUUCUUUUAUCAGGGAAGAAACCGUUUAUUUUUAUGAACGUUGACGGUACCUGAUGAAUAAGCACCGGCUAACUCCGUGCCAGCAGCCGCGGUAAUAC
rnacentral:rRNA from 1 species